rnacentral:rRNA from 1 species
CCUGCGGAGGGAUCAUUACUGAGUUAUCUAAACUCCCAACCCUUUGUGAACCUUACCGUCGUUGCCUCGGCGGGCUGUACUUACCCUGUAGCUACCCUGUAGCUACCCGGUAGGUGCGCUCCAAGCCCGCCGGUGGACCACUAAAUUCUAUUUUACUACUGUAUCUCUGAAUGCUUCAACUUAAUAAGUUAAAACUUUCAACAACGGAUCUCUUGGUUCUGGCAUCGAUGAAGAACGCAGCGAAAUGCGAUAAGUAAUGUGAAUUGCAGAAUUCAGUGAAUCAUCGAAUCUUUGAACGCACAUUGCGCCCAUUAGUAUUCUAGUGGGCAUGCCUAUUCGAGCGUCAUUUCAACCCUUAAGCCUAGUUGCUUAGUGUUGGGAAUCUGCCCUGUAUUUAUAGGGCAGUUCCUUAAAGUGAUCGGCGGAGUUAGGGCAUACUCUAAGCGUAGUAAUAUUCUUCUCGCUUCUGUAGUUGUCCUGGCGGCUUGCCGUUAAACCCCUAUAUUUC